rnacentral:sRNA from 1 species
GGGAGGGAGGGACUGAUGAGGGAGGGAGGGAAUGAGUGACUGAAUGAGUGAGUGACUGAGUGAGGGAGGGAGAGGGAGGGAGUGACUUGAGUGACUGAGUGGCCUGUUGCUUCCGUGUUCCUGUUAACACUCCUGGGCCGAGCCCUCCUGACACCUGGGCCCUGCUUCUCGCCCAUUCACCAGGUCUCUCUCCUCCUGGGCGAGCCGUUCUUCACUACCAGCCUGCUGCCGUGGCACAACCUCUACUUCUGGUACGUGCGGACUGCUGUGGACCAGCACCUGGGGCCAGGUGCCAUGGUGAUGCCCCAGGCAGCCUCGCUGCACGCUGUGGUUGUGGAGUUCAGGGACCUGUGGCGGAUCCGGAGCCCCUGUGGUGACUGCGAAGGCUUCGACGUGCACAUCAUGGACGACAUGAUUAAGCGUGCCCUGGACUUCAGGGAGAGCAGGGAAGCUGAGCCCCACCCGCUGUGGGAGUACCCAUGCCGCAGCCUCUCUGAGCCCUGGCAGAUCCUGACCUUUGACUUCCGGCAGCCGGUGCCCCUGCAGCCCCUGUGUGCCGAGGGCACCGUGGAGCUCAGAAGGCCCGGGCAGAGCCACGCAGCGGUGCUAUGGAUGGAGUACCACCUGAUC